rnacentral:rRNA from 1 species
AUUGAACGCUGGCGGCAGGCCUAACACAUGCAAGUCGAGCGAGCGGCGGACGGGUGAGUAAUGUCUGGGAAACUGCCUGAUGGAGGGGGAUAACUACUGGAAACGGUAGCUAAUACCGCAUACCAUCAGAUGAACCCAGAUGGGAUUAGCUAGUAGGUGGGGUAAUGGCUCACCUAGGCGACGAUCUCUAGCUGGUCUGAGAGGAUGACCAGCAACACUGGAACUGAGACACGGCCCAGACUCCUACGGGAGGCAGCAGUGGGGAAUAUUGCACAAUGGGCGCAAGCCUGAUGCAGCCAUGCCGCGUGUAUGAAGAAGGCCUUCGGGUUGUAAAGUACUUUCAGCGGGGAGGCGUUACCCGCAGAAGAAGCACCGGCUAACUCCGUGCCAGCAGCCGCGGUAAUAC